CCUGACUCCGUCUAGUUAUAAUUUUCGCUGUCUCUCUGUUACUUUAACCUCGGUUAGGAUCUUGACUACGCUUUUUCUUGUACGACGUUAUGUCCGGUCAUAUGUUUUUUCCCUGUCUUGUCCAUUGCUGUCCUGAACUCUGCGUGUUGGGGUAUUACACCGUGACACCUGAUUCCAGCGCCGAUGUCCUUUGGUGCUGGGUCAUCGCUCUGCCUCCUCUGACGUCAUCCAACGGGGAGACCUAAUGCGCAAGCGCAGCAAGAGCUGGAAGCGCAUUAGGCCCUCUACAUAGGAAAGCUCCCAGAAGCGCCUCUUGU